rnacentral:rRNA from 1 species
UACCAGACUCCUACGGGAGGCAGCAGUGAGGAAUAUUGGUCAAUGGGCGCGAGUCUGAACCAGCCAAGUCGCGUGAGGGAUGACGGUCCUAUGGAUUGUAAACCUCUUUUGUCAGGGAGCAAAGGGCGCCACGUGUGGCGUUUUGCGAGUACCUGAAGAAAAAGCAUCGGCUAACUCCGUGCCAGCAGCCGCGGUAAUACGGAGGAUGCGAGCGUUAUCCGGAUUUAUUGGGUUUAAAGGGUGCGUAGGCGGGACGGUAAGUCAGCGGUAAAAAUGCGGAGCUCAACUCCGUCGAGCCGUUGAAACUGCCGUUCUUGAGUGAGCGAGAAGUAUGCGGAAUGCGUGGUGUAGCGGUGAAAUGCAUAGAUAUCACGCAGAACUCCGAUUGCGAAGGCAGCAUACCGGCGCGCAACUGACGCUCAUGCACGAAAGCGUGGGUAUCGAACAGGAUUAGAUACCCGCGUAAG